rnacentral:rRNA from 1 species
AUUGAACGCUGGCGGCAGGCCUAACACAUGCAAGUCGAACGAGUGGCGGACGGGUGAGUAAUGUCUGGGAAACUGCCUGAUGGAGGGGGAUAACUACUGGAAACGGUAGCUAAUACCGCAUACCAUCAGAUGUGCCCAGAUGGGAUUAGCUAGUUGGUGGGGUAAAGGCUCACCAAGGCGACGAUCCCUAGCUGGUCUGAGAGGAUGACCAGCCACACUGGGACUGUGCCACGGUCCAGACUCCGACGGGAGUCAGCAGUGGGGAUUAUUGCACAAUGGGCGCAAUCCGGAUGCAGCCAGGCCGCGUGUAUGAAGAAGGCCUUCGGGUUGUAAAGUACUUGCAGCGGGGAGGCGUUACCCGCAGAAGAAGCACCGGCUAACUCCGUGCCAGCCGCCGCGGUAAUAC